rnacentral:rRNA from 1 species
UACGGAGGGGGCUAGCGUUGUUCGGAAUUACUGGGCGUAAAGCGCACGUAGGCGGCUUGGUAAGUUAGAGGUGAAAGCCCGGAGCUCAACUCCGGAAUUGCCUUUAAGACUGUCGAGCUAGCAGGUGAGAGAGGUGAGUGGAAUUCCGAGUGUAGAGGUGAAAUUCGUAGAUAUUCGGAAGAACACCAGUGGCGAAGGCGGCUCACUGGCUCAUACUGGACGCUGGAGGUGCGAAAGCCGUGGGGAGCGAUCCGG